ensembl:lncRNA
ACCCAUUAUUACUCCAACCAUUAUUUUAAAUUGUAAUAAUAUUUGACAAUAGUACUGUUUUUUUUUUUUUUAUUAAAUACAUGCAGGCUUAAUGGGCAUAAAAUAUUUAUUUCAAAAACAUUACAAAUAGCAAUGCGUGUAAACUUUUGACCAGUACUGUAAAUAUUUAUAUCACAACAAAUUGUUGGUGAAAUACUUAAACACUAAUAAACAUUCUUUUUAUAUACAUGUAUUGCAUUUUUGUGUAAUUUUAUUAUUAUUAUUAUUAUUUUAGGUUACUGUUGUAUAACUUGGUUUCAAAGCUACAUCAGUGUGUAUUUCAGAUUAAUGAACCUGGACUCAGUGUCAUAAUUUACAUUGAAAUGUAUUGUCAAAACUUUAAUAACAAAACAAAAAGACCUUUAAAAUAAGAAUUUGUUUUCCUAGUCAUCUUUUAUUACGAAGUAGUUACUUAAGAAAAUAUAACUGUAACGGGUCACGUGACAGGUAUACCGCGGUAGGCGCGUAUAUCUGUGACGGGUCGAGUGACAGGCGCGUAUAUCUGUGACAGGUCGAGUGACAGGCGCGUAUAUCUGUGACAGGUCGAGUGGCAGCUGCCCCUGCCACGCAAAGAUGUUACUCCCUCUCCAGAGUAGCUUACAAAACGUUUAUUAACAAAAACGAUAAGAUGAGACAUGGAAUAUGCCUACACUACAUGCUGUAUUAGGCUGCAUAGCCUAAUGACUAAUAAAUUACAGAACGUUUAGCAAGCAAUGAGGAAUCAAAUAAAAAUAAAAAAUAAAUAAAAGAGAGCCUCCAUAGCAUAACGUGAUGUAAACAGCAAAGAUAAGCUUUUCAAAAUGAAAUCAAAACAAAAAGAAAAGUAAAACUAAACUUGCUGUCGGUGACAGCUCUUGCAUGUUUUCCCCCCCACGAGAAUACCAACAUGUUCACCAUCUCUGGUUUAAGAAGCGGUCUUUUACUUUACUUUAGCGUGAAAACCAUCAGUAUUCGCGUCAUUUUUGCUGCGCGCACCUUCGCGCUCCUGCUGACGCCGCUCACUCGAUUUUGUUAUAGGCUAUUCUUUAAUUUUGUAGUCCGUAUGAAAAGGUUUAUUUCUAUUAAAGCCAGGUCCGUGGAGAUGGCGAAUCAGUGUCGGCAUUCGUCAACCUAAUCAUUGCACCCGACUCAGAAAGCACUUAUUAAUAAAUUAUUAAAAUGUCUUCUUUUCCCCUGAUACGUUCAUAAUCACUUUGCCGGUGUUUUGAGGCAAUUGCUUUAUGCGUGAGCUUGAGCGCGGAAUGCCUGUAGCCUAUUAAAGUAUGGUUAAUAUAUUAUUAUAUUAAUCAAUUUAAUAUAACGUGCGAAUAGUUGACUAGAAAAAUCUAUAGGGAAGGCCUAUUUAGCAGAAGGAAGCGCUCCAUUUUCUUUUCUUUUUUUAAAUAAAAUCCUAUAAUGACAUUACGAAAAGUGCGACAACUGAAAAUCACGUCGUUAUUGCACUUUACCAGUUAUACAUGCAUAAGGAGUCAAAUGUUUUUGUUGUUGUAGUAGUUUUUAUCACCCUGAUUAGAUUAUGAAGAAUUAUUUGUUGAUCUUGUUUUCCCUUUAAUAUACCUAAUACAUACCGCAAGAUAUUUUGAAAGUGACCCAUACUCAGAAUUCUUGCUCUGCAUUUAACCCAUCCAAAGUGCACACACACAGCAGUGAACACAGACACACACAACGUGAACACACACUCGGAGCAGUGGGCAGCCAUUUAUGCUGCGGCAGCCGGGGAGCAGUUGGGGGUUCGGUGCCUUGCUCAAAGGCACCUCAGUCAUGGUAUUGCCAGCCCGAGACUCAAACCCACAACCUUAGGGUUAGGAGUCAAACUCUCUAACCACUAGGCCAUGACUUUUUCAGUUACUUUCAAAAUGUGGUAGGGACAAUAUCUGCCAUACCCGUUGGAUGAACUGGAAUGUGUUCUUCAUAGAUUUAGGGUAGUUGAGAAGCAGUGUGUAUGCAAGUCCAUAAUGCAUAUAGCUUUUGGCAAGUCAUCAAUAUUGUCCAUCACAACUUCUCCUUCAAUGAUGAUCUUCAAUGAGGCUGGAUUGAGAUGGAGAGAAGAUGAGAGCCUUCUUGCUCAAUGAGGAGGAUUCCAAUGUCAUCAGAGUCCUAACAACAUUACAGCACAAUCAUGAAAUUUCUCAUUACAUAACCAUCAAUAAUGUUAAGCAAUUUGUUACGACUGCUGGAGUUCUGUCUUCACAAUGAUUAUUUAAAUUUUGGUAACAUGGACUUUUAAUGUAGGAACAGAAACUUAUGAUGUUUCAUUAAAAACAGUUCACACAAAAGUGAAAAUCAGCUGUUAAUUUUCACAUCCUCAGGCCAUCCAAGGUGAAGCUGAGUUUUUCUUCAGCAGAACCUUAAAAAUGAUUAGCUAAAACUGUGGUCCUUGGUGAUUGAUAUAAAACAGUCAACGGAAACAGUUUUUGAUUGUUAAAAAAAACAUGCACAGGCAAAACAAAAUUAAUACCUGUGGAUACUCCUGACCAUACACUGAGGUCUUAAGUAAAACAAUUGGUAUGAGAAGCAUCCACAGCCUCUGCAAGCGGUCCUGAAUGCAUUCACAACAGUCUAGAGCGUGAGUUUCCUGUCACAUAUAAUGUAUGUACAUGAGCAAUCUUCCUGAAGUUGACUGCACAAGCAAAUGAUUUUUAAUUUUUAUAGAGAUUGUGGGAUCCAAGAUAAGUACACGGAAGUACCAUUUUGACGAUGACCAAUACAACACACAAUGCUUGCUCUCGGCGGUGGAUUAAAGAUUGUUUUAAAGCACUCCCAUCCAUACUGUUAUAGCACUGUACCAGACAGCACACUAUUCAGAACUGAGAAUCAGUGCAGUUCCUCCUGUACAGGGCUGCACUGAAUGGAGCAGAGCUGGCACAAACCUAGAACAAUGAGAGUCAAGCCAGGUCCUGUCAGUGGGAUGGUGGCCCUGUUUUCAAGCGAGGAAACUCGCUGAGUGGUUAAGAUCUCUCUGUGGAAGACCGACUGAAAGGUGGACCAUGAAGUGGAGCAACUUAUCGAAGGACUGUAG